UGGGGAAUAUUGCACAAUGGACGGAAGUCUGAUGCAGCAACGCCGCGUGCGUGAUGACGGCCUUCGGGUUGUAAAUCGCUUUUUCUCAUGACGAAGUUUUUUGACGGUAGUGGGGGAAGAAGCACCGGCUAACUACGUGCCAGCAGCCGCGGUGAUACGUAGGGUGCGAGCGUUGUCCGGAAUUAUUGGGCGUAAAGAGCUUGUAGGCGGUUUGUCGCGUCGAUAGUGCAAACUCAGUGCUUAACGCUGAGCCUGCUGUUGAUACGGGCAGACUAGAGGAAGGUAGGGGAGAAUGGAAUUCCCGGUGGAGCGGUGGAAUGCGCAGAUAUCGGGAGGAACACCGGUGGCGAAGGCGGUUCUCUGGGCCUUUCCUGACGCUGAGAAGCGAAAGCGUGGGGAGCGAACAGG
rnacentral:rRNA from 1 species